ACGCUCUGGAAACGGAGAACAAAUCCCGAUGUACAGGAAGGAGGCAUCUUCUUUCUGUGAAACAUCCUUUAGGGGAUGGGGCGCGGAUGGACCUGCGGUGCAUUAGUUGGUUGGCGGGGUAAAGGCCCACCAAGACGAUGAUGCAUAGCCGGCCUGAGAGGGCGGACGGCCACAUUGGGACUGAGACACGGCCCAGACUCCUGCGGGAGGCAGCAGUAGGGAAUUUUCGUCAAUGGGCGCAAGCCUGAACGAGCGAUGCCGCGUGAGUGAAGAAGGCCUUCGGGUCGUAAAGCUCUGUUGCGGGGGAAAAAAGGCAGCAUCAGGAAAUGGGUGCUGACUGAUGGUGCCCCGCCAGAAAGUCACGGCUAACUACGUGCCAGCAGCCGCGGUAAUACGUAGGUGGCGAGCGUUAUCCGGAAUGAUUGGGCGUAAAGGGUGCGCAGGCGGUCCUGCAAGUCUGGAGUGAAACGCAUGAGCUCAACUCAUGCAUGGCUUUGGAAACUGGAGGACUGGAGAGCAGGAGAGGGCGGUGGAACUCCAUGUGUAGCGGUAAAAUGCGUAGAUAUAUGGAAGAACACCAGUGGCGAAGGCGGCCGCCUGGCCUGUUGCUGACGCUGAGGCACGAAAGCGUGGGGAGCAAAUAGGAUUAGAUACCCUAGUAGUCCACGCCGUAAACGAUAAGGACCAAGUGUUGGGG
rnacentral:rRNA from 1 species